rnacentral:rRNA from 1 species
UACGUAGGGGGGCAAGCGUUGUCCGGAUUUAUUGGGCGUAAAGAGCGUGUAGGCGGCUGGGUAGGUCCGCUGUGAAAACUCGAGGCUUAACCUCGAGACGUCGGUGGAAACCAUCCAGCUAGAGUCCGGAAGAGGAGAGUGGAAUUCCUGGUGUAGCGGUGAAAUGCGCAGAUAUCAGGAAGAACACCCGUGGCGAAAGCGGCUCUCUGGGACGGUACUGACGCUGAGACGCGAAAGCGUGGGGGGAGCGAACAGG